UGCCCCGGGCAGUCCGUCCUCUCAGGUGUGCAGCAAAGAGCGGGGCUCUACAGAACAGCAAGCUCUUUCUUCAACCCUGUCUCUCCACAGCUUCAGUAACUGCUCUUUUUUCAAAAACAAAGUGUUAAAGGCUAAUUAAAGUGGUAAAGAGAACAAUUGAAGCCUGGUAGCCUCCUGUUGGGAUACAAGCCAUGCAGCGAGGACUGUCUGCAGUGAGUUGUCAGGAGGAUGGUGGCGUGCUUGGGUGCACACAAGAAAUCAAACAUUUCAUUGUAUCUUCAGUUAUUUGUGCUCCUUUGCAUGUUCUACAUGGCCACAGAUUUGAGAACACAUCUCACCAAAUGAAUCUUUUUCAAGUACUGAUAAAACACCGUGUAGUGUCAAUCCCUUUUGCAAAGAGAAAUUUCAUUCAACAUUUUUAAAGAAAAAUGCCAUUUGUUUGCCUGUCUCUGAAUAUAAGUGGACUUUAUCCCUUCCACUUUGUUUGUUCCCUAUUAAGUGACUGCACCUGCUCAGUAUGAUUUGGGUCUUUAUGUGGGUAUUAGACUUACUGGGAAUAUCUCAGAGUCAAUUAGAGAACUGAUACUACAAAGUUAGGCCAGAUGCAGUGAUGUGUGGAAUGGUAUCAGUUUGCUUCCAAAGAGAAAUUUGAGUUUCUGUGUCCCUUAACAGGUGUUGAGCAUGAUCUAGUUUUGUGCUGGUAUAAACAAAAAGACUGGCUGCUGUUAUUUGGUCAGUCUCUCACACUUCCCCAUACAGAGAGUGUUCACAAAGUGAAAACAUCCAGAUCAGUCUAAAGCAAUUCAGUUUACAGUGCUUCAAAAAUUAAUUUGUCUCCAUCCAGCUAGUUGCAAUAAGAAGAGGUAUUUGGACACAAAUUAAACCUUACUGCAUGUUAUCGUUGGGUUGGACGUGACAUACACACACGUGAUCAGGGUUCAAGAAUAAAAAAUUCUGCGUGUUUUCUAGCUUAUAUACUUUCAAAAAAGCAUGAUCUUAAGUCAUUAACUGCAUCACAAUAACUUAUUAUAUUUAUUGGUGUAAAGCAAUUAACGUUAAUAUAAUUGGCAAAAGUUUUACAGAAAUUUAAUAAGGUACGUAUACACAUCUACUUAUGCACGUAGCUUAGCAUACAAAAAUGUUCAUGUAUCUUUUCUAAUCUGUUUCUAUGCUGAUGGCCUUGUGUUUUUCUUUGCUAUGGAUACACUUGAAAAUCAUCAAUUGUUAUUUCUUCUAUUAACAAAGCUUUACCUGUAGGCCAGCUGUCAAGACCCUCCAUAACUGCAAUUCUACAGGUUCUCUUGGGGACUGCAUUUGUAUCAGUAAUGUCUCACAGAGAAUGAAUGCAAACAAGCAGUAGCACAGAAGGACUCACUCCAGCAGCAAAGUCAGACCUGUGUGGCCCAUCCUGCUGGUGGGAUAUGAAAGCUCAGAUGACAAACCCCCACUUCUAUUAGGUAACUCCUCCUCUGCCGCAGUCAAGGUGCUUUGCAAACAGUGAGAAAGUAAGUGGUAAAAUAUGUUUGUGAGUUGUGAUAACUCUUAACUGUGAAUUUUAGGACCUGGUCUGUUGCUAAAUUGGUAAUUGCUACUGAUGUCCAAGAGGAGAAAUUUCAGUGGGCUGAAUUUCGGAAUACAGAAGGGGGACCCAGUUGGCCCCAUAGCCAUGGCACAGCUCAAUCAGAAAUAUGUUCCAGUUGGGGUCAUCUGUGUUCUUUGACUUCUUGUAAUACCUUCAGUACUAUUUGGAAUGUUUAAUAAUGGAAUCUGACCUCAGCACAGGAGAGGUAAAUGCAAAAGCUACCUGUCUACUUCUCAGGGUAUUCAAGUGGAAUGUUUUUCACAAACAUAGUGAAAAAAAGGUUUAAAAUACCUGAAAUUUAACAGCAUUGAGUUCAAUAUAGACUCUCUAAACAGAGUGUAAGCAGAGUGAAAAAUCAGACUGUUCUUGGGAAAAUCAGAAUGUUCUUUGUAAACAUUCCCUACACGAAAUGGUCACUUAAUUUAAUGCAGUUUUGUAAAUUUGCUUGAAUUCAAUUUUAUAAUUUAAUGAUAGAUUUUCUAAAAAUUCAUUUCAAAUUUCCUAACAUUGAAAUGGGUAGUACAAAACUCAUCUUACAAUGUAAAUGAUCUUUAAUUUAUCAGAGGAUUUGUUUUUGUUUGUUUGUUUAGGUGGAUCUGAUUUCCUGUAUUUUUCAUUUUGUUCAGAGAACUAAAAUAUUUUCAUGUUGCUGUUCAUUUUACCAAAGCUCAUAUAUUCAAUAUACUCAAGUUGCUUAUACUAAACAUUUUGAUAUAUAACGAAUCUGUUUAAUUAGUCUGUGUAGACAGGAUAGAAGCUACAUUUCCAUGCCAAAUCCAUGAUUUUUACUGUGUUUGCAGUCUCAUCAAUCUAAACUGACAGCCUCAUGGUUUGUAAGAGUGGCAGCUGACUACUCGUUGUGCCUCUUUUAUCUGAUUUGUUCAUUAACUGCUUUGUUACCUGCAAGCCAGUCAUCAUCUCAAGUUUGAUUGGUCCCUUAACACUGCUGAAUAAUGUCAUAUUGGUCCAGAGUGCCAUGGAGUGGCAGCAUUUACAUAAAGUAGGUGAAUUAUAAAGAGGAGAGGUGGGAAGAUUUGUAAUUCCUUUGCAUUUGCAUUUAAUUUAAUGGAUUACUCUGUAAGAGCCAUGCACCACGAUGCUUGGAUUCCACUCAGGGCUCAUUUCAAAUGUCAAGUACUCCACAUUUGGGUGCUGUCUCUUCUAGCCUCUCAUCUUCUCUUUUGUCUACAGACUUGUGCAGCAAGUGAUGCCCUUCUUGAAGACAUCAUGUCUAAAAGCAAUAAGUAGAAUACCCCUACCCGCUGGUAUUUGAUAGGGAAUGAUUUAUGAUUUUUUUUUUUUUGGUAGGUUUGUCAUUGCUCUCUUUUUCAACACCGCUUGCUUGUCCAAAGAGAUUGCUUUUUGUCUUUACUUUUUUGGCUCAGAGAACCUUUCAUAAAUUCUUACUAUAUUUUUCAUUUGUCUAGACUUUUCUCCUCUUCCUCUUCUUUUUUCACAAAGCUUCUUCAGACACCCCACACAGUACCAGCUUCAAAAUCAAGAGGGAAUUCAUGGUGGAAACAUAUGCUCCUCUGUGAAAAUUACUUUAAAUCAGCAAUCCUAUUUCAGGCAAACUCUUCAGAUCACUUCCCCUAGUUUUCUGAGUCAUAAUCUAACAUUUUUCCCUAUACCGAUCAGUCUGUGCUGCCUAUUAAUGACAUCCAUUAUAGAGAGAAGAUGGCAAUGAACUAGCUAUUGAAUCCUUGUUUACCUGCAUUCCAUUUUGUAGGAGUAUUCGUGCAAUCUAUGAUGUCCAGAUUCCCCCUCUUUCCAAUGCAUAUGAACCGGAAGAAAGUGAGGAAAUGUUAGCUGUAAGUAAGGAAGGUGUUCCUUCAGUCAAUCCUUCUGUGACAUACUGCUGUCUUGUCUGGACCACUGGCUGUCAGUUCAAACCAGAGUGUCUGAAAAAAGUUCAAGAGUGGUUUCAUCCUUUGGCUGGGAUCAUUCCAUUGUAUUGGUAUCUGAAUGCCCCAAGUCUACCAGAAAUGGGUAUCCUGCUCUAGCAUACCACUACAAUUUAUGAUCUGCUAACACUCCUUCAGCCAGUGUUCCUUCCAUCUCGUGGAAGCAGUCAAGGUGAAUUGGCUGGUAGCUGACAAAUGUUCUUUCCUUGGCUUCCUUCUUAGUACUUUUAAGCUGUAUUGGUUUCAUCAAGAAAACAAAGCAUGAAUGUCUUCACACAAGUGUAAAAGUAGUCUUAAGGCAGGUACAUCAGCUCAUUUUUUUCAAGGAGUUUCCCAUCUGAUUUUAUUGAAGGUCUCUGUGUCCAAUCUUUCCUCAUUACCCUGCAGGGGUGUUCAUGCUGUUCUUAUCAUAAGGGGAAGAGAGGCUUCUGCACUUCAAUGCUGAUAAUCCACAUACCCAUUUCCUAGUAUCAAAAGGAUUUCCGUGUCUUAAUUUUUUGUGUCAUGUCUCUGUACAAUCUAGACCUCACAGUCUCAUCCCUCUUGCAUUCUCUACUUGACUUCUUUCAAUCAUAUUUUUUUUUAUAACGAUGUCCUGACCUGACUGAUGCUUUAAAGUUGCAGCUGACCUUUUAAUGUUAACUGAGUGAGUUACCAGGCAAGCAGUGACUCUACUUCAGCUGUGGUUAUGAUGCUGUUUUCAAACUUUCUUCAACUAAUGAGCUAUUAUAAGUAGUAAUAAACGUGUUUGUUGGGGCCACAUGUCCCUUGGAAACACUCAGCCCGUGCUAAUUACAGUGGGUCAGUAAAGAGGUCAAGGCUUAUAAGUGUGUGGGAGGGGACAUUGAACGGUGAUGCUGAGAGAUGUUGAAAAUAGUUGCAGGGAAUGUUAAUUACACAGCUGGUUCACAUGAACCAGCUUCUCCACCCAUUAAAAACAAAACUCAUUUUGAAGACACUUAUAAAACCUGUGCUUUAUGAAUCAAGAUCCCUUAUGUCUCAGUAACUGGUAAUAAUACCCAGAUAUAUGAAACUGCAAUGGAAUCAACAAAGAACUCAUCUGUGCAAGGUGGCUUUAGUCUCAAUUAAAGCUAGAAAUAAGAUUUUGCGUGGCUAUGCUGCCAUAUUAGAGCCAUUGCACAGCUUUGCUCUGUGGAUUUAAUUCAGAUUCUGCAGAUUUUGCUACUGACUUCCAUGACCUUUGGACCAAGUCUGCUGCUGGUUUGUUCUCAUUCCUGAAGAGCCCCAGCCUGUCUGACAGACAGACAGUGCACUUCCUCUGGGAACAGUGCAACUGUAAGGGCUGGUUCUGCAGUUGUCACAGUGUGAGUGACAGAGCAAAGCUAGUUACUUGUGGAUGUUUGCAUGGCUAUUCUCUUAAGUUCUAAUAAAAAGUGACAGUGAGGGGAAGGUAUACAAUAUAAAUAAGAUGAUGAGAGAGAGAUGUGCAAUUGACUAAUUCUUAUGUUAUAAUUGAACAGUAUAUAUGUAUCUAAGUUGUUCAUAUUGCUAAGAUAUUGCACUAUAUUUACUAUUCAAAGAAGCAUAGCAUUACAGGACAAAAGCUGUAUAUUUUCUGCUUGGUUUCUUAGCCAAACUCCAGAGCCAAAAAGCUUUUAAGGUGUAGAUAAAUCUGACAAAUACUUAACUUUGAACUUGUACUUGUGUGUGCUUCAUAGUCACAAAAGAGUGAAAUCCACUGUGGUAGUCAAUGCUCUGAGAAUGAUGUCUGUAGGAGAAAGAGUGUACUUGCCUGUUAGUAUGUCUGCAACACCGCAGGAAACAGGAAGAAAUUAAUAAAUAGAGAUGAAAUUUUCAUGCAGAUACUGGGAGAAAAAUGUCCUUUUGGUUAAAACAAGAAUCAGACAAUUUGAAAUACUGGAGUGAGUUAAAAAACAAAAAGGAACUUUUGAAAUAUAUAAUCCUUGCUGUCACCCAUGUUUACCCAGUUGAUAUUUUUUAUUUUGUGUUUUUCACUUAUUUUGAAGAUUUCAUAGCAAGUAGGUUUCCCAAGGUUUAAGAAGCAUUUGUUCACUGCCAAAAGUGGUAUAUGAAAUGGUAUUCUUCAGGGAAAUCGGUUUUUCCCUGAUAAAAUGCAAAUAAAACAUUUUAAAAAGCAUCAUAUACAGAAAAUGUGCUGAAGGAAGUUGAAGUAUAUGGAAUGUCUCCACAUAUCUUCUCUAAGGGUUUCUUCAGCGCUUUUUUGUUAGAAACCCCCUGUCAAUAGAUGAUGUCUGUCCAUUGUCACAUACUGAACAUCAUAUUACCUCCAAAGUUAGAAAUUGUUUGAUAGACCACGUUAAGAGUUAAGCCUGUGAGGAUUUAACUUCCGUGAAACUUGGGAGAUGAUUAAUUAUUUUUCUUCAGGGUAGCUAAACUGAUUUCUGCAAAGCUGACUUUUGUAAUUGAGGAGGAAUUCCAAGUCAGCUAAUGUGUCUCGAUGAUAUUGGAUGAAUGUUUAUGGAAAAUAUACUCAUUUGCUCAUAAAAAUAACAUUCUAGCAAAAUAUUGACAUGCUGUAACCUCUUUGAAUGUACAAGAUGUGAUAUGAGUAACACAGUGUGCUCAGUAACUGCGUAUUAAUUGCAAAAAUCAGUAAAUCUAUUUUUUAGACCCACAAACAGGAAAUCAGCUUCUUGUCAAGGUCCCUGUGAAGUGGGUGACACAAUUGAUGUGAGUUUCACCCUGAUGGAUAAUUAUGUGUGUCAUACAGGUGGAAGAUUUUAAAAGGGACUCCAUCAUCCUUCCACUUCAGCAUGUGCUGACCACCAGCAUGCAAGGAGAUUGUACAUAGAAAAAUACCCUUUGAUUUUAUUUUAUUUAGCUUGAGUUGGUUGUAUAUUUUUCACACUAUUGCAGCGUGUUUGCACAACCAAUAAGGACACCAGAGUUGACUAUUAUUGUUUAUUGAAUAAUUCAUAUCAAAUAAACACUUUUGGAAGUCUGACCACAGAAAGGAAAAGCAUUUCUUUGAGAGGAAAGAAAUCAGAAAUCCUCACUGCAAGGGAAGGAUCUCUUCUUGCUUUAUUAUUAAAUGCCUAAGGAGAAGACAUGAUUUCAAGUGGCAUGACUGAAGUGUGGGCACACCAGGGUGGGAGUUCUUGUGUGGGCUGUACACAGUCAGGGGGGUCACAAUGUGUGCUUGAGAUGUUCAGGGAUGCAUUAACAGUUUGCACUCUGUAACCUCUUAGGUGAAGAGGGUUUUCCUGUGCCAGUUUCAAGAAAGACUAUGAAGUCACUCAUUUAUUUUGCUCCAGUUGAAACUGUUCCUGUCUCUCUAUAGUGCUUACUGUCUAGACAGAUUGUAGUGUACAAGGACUCAGGUGUCCAGAAUGUUAUCAUUUAGAACUGAAAACCUGUUCUAUUUAAUUUUGAAACAAUUGGCAUAUGUUCUUUUUUCUUCCUCACUAUUUACUGAUUUCACUGAUGUGAGAGGAAACCAUAUAAUUAUUCUGCUUCAGUAGCAUCAGAACAGAAAUUUAAGAGCCUGUUUUAUUUUAUUUAGGAACACACAGUCAGAUUAUUCUGGGGUCUGGACUCCUAAGAAAAUGAGCACUCUUCCUAAAGUGGGGGAAUUGAAGAUUCUCAGUACUUGCCUGUUCCAUUCAGAUGGGUCCUUUAGUUCCUUUGCUUUAAGUGUGUGACAAAGCCAUUAACUUGGAUGGGAGCAUUAACACACUGAAAGGUAGGUGCAGAGGUCAGCAGCAGGAAGCCAGAAAGGAGUGAACUGGAUGUUUUGGUGAUCUGGCAAUUUAUUUCACCAAAUGAAAGUGCUACACAAUUAUUUUCUCAUUCCUCUGUUUCACUUUCCCAUGCUGAUCUCUUUCCUGGGUGCUGACGCUUUUCUUCUACCCUGUCUCUGCUAACAUCUAUUAAAUCAAGCAACAAGCUGCCUUUGUGACAAGUGAGUGACUCCUGAAAAUUGCAGGGACCUGUGUCAUCUGAGCUGUCAGAAUUCCAGUGCCUUUUUCCAGGAUGCUGGCGUUUCUCAUCAUAUACAUCUACCUCAUAAUUCCAGCCUCUUUUGCUAGGACGCUGGUGCUUGUACAUUGGAUAUCUUCUGCCUGGAUGUUCUGUUUUGGAUAACUCAUUCAUGUAAGUUAGCUGUGCCCUAGGACUGUAAGCAAACUGAUCCAACAGUGACUUUCUGCUGGAAGGCUUUUGCCUUUUCAACCCCAGAUAGACAUCAAGGUCAUCUUCCAUCUCCCUUUUUCCGGGAUGCUGCCUCUUCUGAAUGCCUCCAUAAGAUGUCUCUUCCUCAACAUCUCUUUUUCCAGGAUGCUGUCUCUUUUCCAGGUUACUUAGGUACUUUUCCCCAGGGUGUUGUCUUUUGGAAAGCCGUUGUAGCAGAGGGGCAUUUGAGUCUGUCCAAGGAAAAGAAUAAGGUUAAUAAAACACCAUAAUCCUCCCUAAGGAAGUUGUAAUGGGAAUUUGUGGAGCAGGAUCAUAAUCUGCUGCUUUUUGAAACCCAACUCAGUAUUUCCAGCUACCAGUCAUAACACAAUUGGUAUCUCUUACUCAUUCUUAGGCUCUUUUUAAUAUUUCAGUGCUUGGAUCAACACAACCAAUUCUCAGCAUUGAUGUGAAGAGGGAGAAUGGCUUUUCCUGUGGGUGCUUGUGGCCAGCUCGUCUUCCACUCUGGAAGGGCCCAGUGCUCCUGUUUGCUGGCAGGUACCUCUGUGCUGUUUCUUGCAAUCCCUGAGUCUGAUCUUCCCCUGCUGUGACUACUGGUAGCAGAGCAUCUACAAGGUGGGAGGUGCAGACACUGGAGCAUUCCCAUCUGUGGAAAAAGCCCGCCUCUGUUGGGGAGUAGAAACCAGUGGAUCAAGGCAGUAGGUGAAUGGCAGCACCCCCACCUCGAAUUUACAUUAGGUGUAGAGUCCACAGCUGCAGAAUGUGCUUCAUGGGACCUCUUAGAGCUUCCCUAGGGAAAUACCUGCUGAACAAGCAGGUUUUCUGUGACAGGCUUCUACCUUUUUAUUGUGCAGCAGCUGCUUAGUGAUAGUACAGCCUUAGUACAGCCUUUCCUGGGCAAAGAGAUCUUAGAGAAAAAAGCAUCUGUGAAGAACUGUCAGUGUAUUGCUGCAGCCCUCUUAUCCUUCUCUUCCCUUUAGUUCCAGUGAUAAGUAUGAACAUUAAGACCUGGAAAUCAUACAUUGGAUCUAAUGAUCUCAGUCAAGUACGAUGCCAUCACCAAAUGGGUGUACCCAGUGAGAUAUAUACCUUUAUUAAUCUCUUCAGCUUUCUUGAGGACAGACUGAAGAAUGAGGCUUUCAGAUCUCUGAAGGAUGUGAUCCAGGGGACUUUUUCCCAUGUUCUCACUCUCCUCUGGAAGGAGAUGUCCCCCAUUGAAGCAAACACCACACGAGGUCAAGCAGAGGAGUAGCAGUGGCAGCUGGAUGGAUGUCAUUGUGGGUUCCUGCAACUUCCAUUGGACAGAGAACAACAGGGGAGGACGAUGGAGCAAGCAAACCUAGCAAUAACAGCAAUAUUUCCAGACACUGAAAAACAAAUAUGGCACUGCUGCAGGGACUGAAGUCUCAGGGUCUUUCCUCAUUUCUGUUACUAACCUCUCAGUUUGUUUUUUAUCCUUCAAAACAUCUAAAUUCUUCAUAAUCAAAACCAGGUAGUUGUUAAUUUUUCUGGCUCAAUAAAUAUGAUAUUAACUUCCUGAGACACGGGUGAUUCUGAAAAACAGUGAUUUUACUCUGCCUUCUGACAAGAGGCAAACAUAAUUUCUCCCUUGAACUCUGUAUGCACAAGGUAUAGACAUCUAUAUCUGCUGCCUUCAUCAGGCAAUUCCCUUUGCUAAGAGUUAAUUUUAAAAUUAUACUGAGAUUAGCAGCACUUCCAUUCCACCUUUAAUUAAAGCCAAACCUAAAUGAUCCACUAGUUUUUUGCUAUCUUUUUCUAUACAUUCAAAGUAGCUGUGUGCCUGGGUAUUCAUCAGGCUAAGAAGACAGCUAUGCUCUGUGUGGCAGGGAGAUUUCUUGCAUGGAAAGAAAUGAGGGAAGUAUCUUAUAUUUUUUUCGGAGACGUAAUAAUAAUGGUAUCCUCUAUUACCUCUUGCCCAGAUACCAAGUGUUUUCCUAUUUCUUCUAGCUAGCACUGAAUUCCUAACAUGCUUAGGGAUUUAUUUUACAGUAAGCAGAGUUCCUUCAGUAGAAUGGAAUAUAUCUUUAAUACUAGUAUAGCAGUCAUUUAUAUUUAUAUCUUCAGAAUGUAAAAGAAAUGCCCAAUUUUAUGAAGUCCUACAAAUUUCCCAAAUAGAGAAUGAGUUCAUUACCUUUUUUAUUAGCAGGUCUUUGUCAGUUCUGAUAAAAUCCUUGAGUAACAGUCCUAAGAACAUCACAUAGGCAAUUUGACUCAGAGCAAUCUUUAGACAGAAAGGUAAAAUCUGCUAAAAAGGAAAUUAUUUGAUAAAUUACCUGAUUUGUAGUUUCAGAUUUUUGCUUGAUGCAUCUGCCAAGUCCUUUAAAGCUGUUUGUGCACCUGAGCUUCAGUUGCCCUUUUGCUGCUGCAGGCACACAGAGUGUCCAACAGAAGCGUUGCUGUGUGCUCUCUGCACGGCUCACGUCUCUGUACUUAUAGCGUACUGCCUCUGGACCCUUUAUGCAAACAGCUCUGAGGUCUGAGCCCCUACCAUGGUACUUCUUGUGUUGUCUAGAGCAAGAGUCUGUACUGGUAAACACUUGUUUGUGAUGUGAGCUCUGAGGCCGUUUUGGGGGUGAGCUUCAGUUAGAGCCAGGUGAAGGAUUUGGCCUGGAGAAUUUGGUGAAAUUAUCAGAAGCUCUGCUGGCUGAUGUUGAAUGGCACUUGAAGCACGACCUGAACAUGCUACUGAUUUUAAGAGUCCUGUAGCACAGCAACAGUGAAGAUCAGAAUCCUGUUGUCGUAAGUACUAUGGUGAAGUAAAAUCUGAAACUGUCUUCCCAAGAGAGUUAAAAUGAAACCUAGAUGUAUAUGCAUACACGUCCAUGUGCACCUACACCUAUCAUACAUCUACACAUGCUUCUGGAGGUGUAUGAAAUGAUGAAGUGAGAGGGUGGAGUAAUCAUUUCAGUUGUGUUGGCCAUAAAUAUGAUAUUUCAAGAGUUUGGGUAGCUGUAAGUCAGCAUAAAGCUAAUCAGGACCAGGUUGAAGUUGAUUUGUAAGCUUUGCUGCAGUGUUGCAAAAGGAUGUGAAAGAAAGAAGACAGAAAUUUUAUCCUGGCAUGGAUUUUCUCCCUUGUGUAAGAGAAGGCUUAUAAGAAAGCUAGUCGCUUGCCAUUACCAGGAUAAAGACGUACAUUCAAGUUUUGCUGUCUGAUUCCAGCACAGGCCAUUUAUAGGAACGUCUUAGCAAAUAUUAAUGACACAGUUUACUGUUUCUGGUAUUGUCCAUUAGUCUCACUGUGUCUGCAGGGCACAUGGCUACAGGAAUUUUUAUUCCUGUCACUUGGAACCAUUACCAAUAAUACCAGUGAACUGGAACCUCUUACUUAGAAUCCAAGCCUUCACUGUAGCAAAUAUAUGGAUUUGUGGCACCAGAGGUGUGCUGGAAGUCAACUGGGAAGUGCUACUGCCCGUACUUGACUAAACACAGAAGCCACCAGAGAUCUGAUAUGCUACCACGAGUCCUUGUGUAGAGCACAGUAGGUUGGGAGUCCUUUCUUUGGUGUAUUGUGUGAAUUAACUGAUUAAUAUGAAGGAAGUUUAUGGAGUACUCAGUAUAGAACUGCUCCCUUGCCCAUUGUGCACAGUCAUUUAGAUGGAGCUUGGUGUGCAGCUGCGAGACUUGGAGGGGGAGGAAGGUCUCCACAACCAGUUGCUGAAGACAAUUUUCAUAUUGUACUAUGAGCUACAUAACAACAAUGACCUUUAUCUAAUUUGCACCUUUAUAACUUGCAUAGUCAUUGUAAUAACAACAGACUCUUCAACGGGUGCUUAAUGGGUUUGUUUACGAGCAAAGAGAAUAAAGUGAGAAUCAAUAGGUAUUCAGAUGCCAUUUUGGGGGCAGGAAUUGUAAUUAUUGAACAAACACUGGACAUUGUUCUUUAUGGGGCAAUAAAGGCACACAUGGGGUCAGUGAGGUAUCUGCUGAGACCAGGAGUAGUAUUGAUUUUUAGAAAUGACUUCUGUGAUCUUCUCGUGGAUUUCUCUUCACAUCAGUCCAGCUGGCAGAUUCUGUGCAUCCCAGGGGAGGCUGAGUGAAUGAACACGUAGCACUGGAGUAAAAGUUCCUUGAAUCAUUUAACACCUGCUUCUGCUGAGAAGACUGUGAGACACAAAGUCUAUAUGCCUCUCAGGUUUUGGGUCAUUCUCUUCCCCUGGGUGUUUUCAGCUAAGCCAGAACAUGAACAAAGAUACAUUUAAAAGUAACUGGAGAAUGGUUUGCUGAUGCAAACUACAGCAUGUGUGUUGUAUUUUCAUAAGCACCAAGCUGGGAGACCACAACGUUAUUUGGUUAGAAUGGAAUCUGAGAACUAGCUGAUUUUGUUUCUGUCUCUUACAUUGAAUUGCUCUGUGAUUGUCAGUCACUCAUUGAGGCAAAAAUCCAACUGUAGGUAAAAUCAGAGUCCGACUUUUCAUAGGUGGUAACUGGAAUUAAGUAAGCGCUUAAAUAUCUUGAGUUUUGUGUUCCCUGUCCAUAGUGAUAUGAUAGAGAGAGUUUUGAAGCUUGUGAUAUGCUUUAAAAGUCACAAAUGACAAGAGAAGUAAAAAUUGUUAUUUAUAGUUUUUUGGGGUUUUUCCUAGGGAGCAAGUAGACUUCACCAAGCCCAGUGGGCAUGGCAUGCAAAUUUCAGUAAAGAAAAUGGUGAAGAGAAAACUCAUGUUUAAUUGGACUCUAGUGAAGCUUUGGUGUGGUCAGUUGUGACAAAAACGACAAUUGUAUGUCAUACAUAUAUUAAAUAUCAGCAAUUUCACAGGAUUCUUUCUACAAACUGCUGAUGCCUCUAAUAAACAGUUUUCUCCUCCAGAUUUCUUUCUUUCCUUGUGGAAGCUGCUAUCAGAUUCAAAAUGUUCUAUGUUGACACCUAAAUGGUGUGAUAGAAUCCUAGAAUGCACUCCUGGAAUGGCUGGUGAUAGUCUUCCUUGAAUGUGGUACAAGAGAAUACAGGAAUUACUUCUAAAGGAUGAAAAAAGAACAUUAAUAAAAGCAAUCCUUUUGUUAAAUUUCCUCUGUGAUGAUCUAUAGGUACCCUAGCAAAUGCUUACACAUCUAGAAAAUAUAACAAAAGUAAAGCAACUAGAAAAAGUAAAAAAAAAUACCUCUUGGAAGUUGCUUUCAGUCCUGCAUUUCCAUGAGUAAUUCAGAGACCAUCAUGGAAAAUACAAAGUUAAAUCUUUCAUAACAUUGUAUUUUAUAGCUUUUAUUCAAAAAUAUGACCCAGUAUUUUGACAUUUGAAAUAGCUUAUCAAGACAAAGAAGCUGACAGACAGUUUUUAAAAUACUUUCUGGAUGAUCCCAACAAUAAUCUGUGAUUAAUUUUGAGCUUCUGCUGUUCAUGUUGAGAAAAUGAAACUUAGGUUUUAUUGCUUGGGCAAAUUAUUAAAAUGCCACGGAUUGCCUGAUAAGUAGGUAAUGCCUUUGAUCACUAGCUGUACUUACAAACAUAUUACCACUGUCAUUUGGAUAACAAAUUAUCCCUAAGACAACACCAGGGUAAUAAAAUUGACCUUUUACAACUACUUGUGCUUUUAUUGAUUAUUAGUUCUACACUAACAGAACUAACAGAACUUAUUUU